rnacentral:antisense_RNA from 1 species
GGUAACCCAGUAGCCCAAAAGACAAAGUCCUUCUCAACAAAGCCUAACCAGCAGGAAAUGGAUUACAGUGAUUCAGAGGAAAGAUAAGAAGGUUCCUUUGUCUUGGACCUCCAUUAGACAUCAAGGAAAAACACCAAAAAAGUAAACAACAAAGGCCCCACACCUUUCCAAACUACAACCCAAAAUAAGUUGAUCUGAGAAACAAAUUGCAAUGCCACAUGCAAAGCAGAUGUGUCCAAAUUCAUGUAGGACCAGACACAUCCUGAACCUUUAAAUGCAACAGCUGUUCAAGACUUUCUUCAAAAUCAUCCAAGCACAAGGGUUGAUAAAAUGCACACAAAAUGGCUGAUGCUCAAACCAACCAAAACACCAGGCUCUUUGCUGAAACCUCUGAAGGGUUCCUGGCUCCAGGUCAGCCUCAGUGGAAUAAAGGAAGAUCACCUACCACUUCAAACUGAAGAGCUGAAGGAGUUGUAUCAAGAUACAGAGUGCAGCAAGUAUAGGAAACAUUAGAGAAACUGACCUGUCUGGAGAUGGCAAGCUGCAGAGCCAGCAUCUAAAAUGGCAGCCGAAGCUUGGCGGCUUUGCGGAGGGCCUCGAGGUGAAGAAUCCAUAGGCCCUGAGGUCUGAUCUCCCCAGCAGAUGGGUCUCUGUGUCAUGCUGGGACACAGCGAAGCCAUGUGUGCACUUGGCAAGGCGAUGGCUGCUUUGACAGGAUCUUACUCUAUCACCCAGGCUGAAGUGCAGUGGCAUGAUCACUGCUCAUUGCAGCCUCAAUCUCCCAGGGCCCAAGCGAUCCUCCCAUCUCAGCCUCCCAAGGCGCUGGGACCACAGGCGUGCUCCCUAUGCCCAGCUAAUUUAUAGAAUUUUUUGUAGACCCGGGGUUUCAACUUGCUAUCCAGGCUAGUCUGGAACUACUAGGCUCAAGUGAUCCUCCCACUUUGGCCUCCCAAAACGCUGGGAUUACAGGCAUAAGCCACCACGCCCAGCUACUAAAUGUCUUAUUUCUAAGGUCCACUUAGUAUAUAGCAGCUUUUAUAAUUUUACAAAUAUUGGCUUUCUAUGAAUUUGUACAUCAAAGAAUAUUUUUCUUUGGUGUUUAUAAAAGUGAGAUUGAAAAAUCAUGGUUUCUCUCAUAAUUAUUCAGGAAAAAGAAUACACACUUAUGAAGAAACUUUUAAGAUUUAUCUUCUUUCACAAAUAAUAAAGUUUACACAAACCUCAAAAAGAA